UAGACCAACAUUUGAGAAUGCCAGAACACAGAGUUGUGGCAAACGGUUUAGGGUCAAUGACCAUCUGGAGUAUGACUGUCACCCUGGAUAUGAAAACAAACAUGGAAACACCUCAGGGACCAUAGUAUGUGGUGACAGUGGCUGAUCUGAUACACCAACAUGUUUUGAUCCUAAAGAAAAAUGUGGACACCCUCCAGCCAUUGACAAUGGAGACAUUACCUCAAUGCCUUUAGAAGAAUAUGUUCCAGGAUCAUUAGUUAAGUACAAAUGUCAGUCCUACUAUAAACAACAGGGAAAUAGUACCAUACUAUGUAAUAAAGGAAAGUGGACAAUACCACCAGAAUGUUUAGAUUCUUGUGUGAUAUCAGAAGACAUCAUGGAUAAACAUAAUAUACAAAUACAAGAGAGAAGAGGAAAAGAGAUUUAUUUUCAAUGGGGGGGAAACUGUUAAAUUUAUGUGUAA